CCAAGAUUGCUGUCUGUGAUGUUAUCAAGAUGCACUGUCUGGAGCCGCUCCAUUGAAAUUAAAUGGGGCUGAGACAGAGAGCCAGGAAGCUGGUUUCCAGAGGUUACAAGGGACAUUUCAUUGUGUUGGAAACGAGUCAACAGCCAAUGUUCCAUGACAAGCAGCAUUAAAAGAGGGGGUGUGAAAAGUU